rnacentral:misc_RNA from 1 species
GGAAAAAAAGCGCUGAACUUCUUCGUCUUUAUCCUGGAAAAACAGCGCUGAACUUCUUUAUCUCCACACCACUCCCAUGACAACCGUCUCAAAUUUUCUUGGAAAUUUCGGCACCGAUUUGUCUGCAGCCAUAUUAUUCACCCUCUGCGCCAUCUUUGCCGUCCUUUGGUAUACGUGGGCGUAUGUCAACUCCAAGAAAGGGAGCUUGCCACUGCCACCAGGCCCUCCAGGCCUCCCUUUCAUCGGCAACCUCGCCUCGCUUGACCCGGAUCUUCACUCAUACUUUGCAUCCUUGGCCCGUACUUACGGGCCAAUCUUGAAGCUUCGCCUCGGAUACAAGCUUGGAAUCGUGGUCAACUCCCCAUCUCUGGCCCGAGAAGUUCUCAAAGACCAGGACAUAACCUUUGCUAAUCGAGAUGUCCCGGAUGUGGCCCGAUCUGCCGCUUACGGUGGUUCCGAUAUCGUUUGGACUCCAUAUGGGCCAGAGUGGAGGAUGCUGCGAAAGGUGUGUGUUCUCAAAAUGCUUAGCAACACUACCUUGGACUCCGUUUACACCCUUCGCCGCCAUGAGGUCCGACAAACCGUGAGUUACCUUUAUAGUAAGGCUGGGUCACCCGUGAACUUUGGAGAGCAAGUCUUUUUAUCUAUACUAAACGUGAUAACCAAUAUGUUGUGGGGAGGCACGGUACAAGGGAAGCAGAGGGCUAGCCUAGGAGCAGAGUUUAGGGAAGUGGUUGCGGACAUGACUGAGUUAUUGGGCAAGCCCAAUGUUUCGGAUUUUUUUCCGGGUUUGGGGCGGUUUGAUUUGCAAGGCCUGCUGAAGAAGAUGGAUAGGUUGGCGAAGCAGUUUGAUGGCAUAUUUGAGAAGAUGAUUGAUAAAAGGGUGAAGAUGGACGGAGAUGGCAGGGAUAGUGGCAAAGAUUGUAAAGACUUCUUGCAGUUCUUGUUGCAGGUGAAGGACGAGGGAGAUACCAAGACACCGCUUACCAUGACCCACCUCAAAGCGUUGCUCAUGGAUAUGAUUGUGGGUGGUACAGACACAUCCUCAAACUCAAUUGAGUUUGCCAUGGCAGAAAUAAUGAACAAGCCAGAAGUGAUGAAAAAAGCUCAGCAAGAAUUGGAUGCAGUAGUUGGAAAGAACAACACAGUAGAAGAGUCUCACAUACACCAAUUGCCUUAUCUAUGUGCCAUCAUGAAAGAGUCAUUGCGGCUGCACCCUGCACUCCCUCUGUUAGUCCCUCACUGUCCAAGUGAAACCUGCAUUGUGGGAGGCUACACUAUUCCUAAGGGUGCUCGAGUUUUCAUUAACGUGUGGGCGAUCCAUAGAGA